CUUAAAGAUGAGCUUGCGCCACAUUAGUUUGUUGGUGGGGUAAUGGCCUACCAAGACGAUGAUGUGUAGCUGGACUGAGAGGUCGAACAGCCACAUUGGGACUGAGACACGGCCCAAACUCCUACGGGAGGCAGCAGUAGGGAAUUUUCGGCAAUGGAGGAAACUCUGACCGAGCAACGCCGCGUGAACGAUGAAGUAUUUCGGUAUGUAAAGUUCUUUUAUUGAAGAAGAAAAAAUAGUGGAAAAACUAUCUUGACGUUAUUCAAUGAAUAAGCCCCGGCUAACUAUGUGCCAGCAGCCGCGGUAAGACAUAGGGGGCGAGCGUUAUCCGGAAUUAUUGGGCGUAAAGGGUGCGUAGGCGGUUAGGAAAGUCUAUAAUUUAAUUUCAGUGCUUAACGCUGUCUUGUUAUAGAAACUACCUUGACUAGAGUUAGAUAGAGGCAAGCGGAAUUCCAUGUGUAGCGGUAAAAUGUGUAAAUAUAUGGAGGAACACCAGAAGCGUAGGCGGCUUGCUGGGUCUUGACUGACGCUGAGGCACGAAAGCGUGGGUAGCAAACAGGAUUAGAUACCCUGGUAGUCCACGCCGUAAACGAUGAGUACUAAGUGUCGGGAUAAAACUCGGUACUGAAGUUAACACAUUAAGUACUCCGCCUGAGUAGUACGUACGCAAGUAUGAAACUUAAAGGAAUUGACGGGACUCCGCACAAGCGGUGGAUCAUGUUGUUUAAUUCGAAGAUACACGAAAAAUCUUACCAGGUCUUGACAUGCUCUGCAAAGCUAUAGAAAUAUAGUGGAGGUUAUCAGGGACACAGGUGGUGCAUGGUUGUCGUCAGUUCGUGUCGUGAGAUGUUAGGUUAAGUCCUAAAACGAGCGCAACCCUUGUCGUUAGUUACCAGCACGUAAUGGUGGGCACUUUAACGAGACUGCCAAUUAAACAUUGGAGGAAGGUGAGGAUUACGUCAAAUCAUCAUGCCCCUUAUGAUCUGGGCUACAAACGUGAUACAAUGGCUGUUACAAAGAGUAGCUGAAGCGCGAGUUUUUAGCCAAUCUCAAAAAAGCAGUCUCAGUUCGGAUUGAAGUCUGUAACUCGACUUCAUGAAG
rnacentral:rRNA from 1 species